CCCGCUUCACGGUAGCAUUGCACAGUCUUCUAUCAAUAUCGUUCCAUCACUCUCUCUACUGAUUCUUGCAAUGCCUGUGGAAGAGUUGCAGACAAAUGCAACAGUUCCAACUACUGGCUAUGGAGUUUAUUUAUUUAUUUUACUGGGCAUUGAUCAGCGCCCGCUGUUCGGAGCUCGCUUCAGAAGUGCUGCUAAUUGGUCUUGUACGCUCUCAACGCCGAUGUUCUUAUUCCUUCUUUGUUCACAUAUAUUUCAAAUUGACUAUAAUUCUUUAGCCUACUGCUGAGAACAAAACAUGAAUUUAGAUUCACUUUCCUUGAAGUCUUCUACCUGUCUCAAAAUCUUCUCGCGCUUUCCAAUUGUUAUGAUCAAAUUUCCUAUUAGAAAAAUGAUUGAAUCUAACACGAAUCUGGACUUCUUUUUGGCACAGCCAGUUGUUAGCUUCUACAUUACAAUCCUUAUUGGCUUCCUGUUGUUUUCCCCCUUGCUCAAGUCUUUAAUCGUACUCUUUUUCGUCAUAUUAUUUUCUCCGUAAAUGGUGAGGAACAUUUUUCUAGUUACCACUUCUGUGAAUCAGCACCAUGUAGCUUCUGCUGGGGAAGGAUUGUUAGCUUAAUUAUGCGAUGCCAAGUGUGAAGAAAAUGGUAGCACUAUCUUGCAUUUCUGGCUGUGGCUGAUAAAGGAGCAAUUGCCGAUUGGUGCAGUGCAGAUGUACAUGCCGAGCUUUUGUUUUCUCCAAUGCCCGAAUUUAGCGAGGGGGAUUCUUCAAGAAGCGUCUACUGGAGAAUUUGUUUUGUAGAACAAAGACAAUCUGCUUUAGCACUUGUGUUCUAAACAAAUCAUUUCUUUUGAUUCCUGCUAACCGAGUUCUAAUUGGUGGCCUGUGUCCCAAAUUUUUAAUCACCAGCCUGGGAAAGCCACAGGUCAUUUAGCACGCCAGCGAAUAUGGGGGAGUAAGUGGGAGGUUUUAUAUUCCCUGCUUUGAGCAAAGUUGAAUCGUCAUCCUCCCAAAUUGAAAGAUAGAUCCUUUAUUAUUAUUGAACCCAAGUAGAGGAAGCCACGCGUCUUGUUUGGCACAUCCAAGUUUUUACACUUUUGUUCCAAUAUGAUAUGCAGUGUGGAUUAUAGGCCCCAAUAAUGGGGGAUGCUUUGUGGAUGGACUACUGACGAUUAUAAUAUAUUUGGGUGCUCCUGUCGGCGAGA